UAGCUAGUUGGUGAGGUAAAGGCUUACCAAGGCGACGAUCUGUAGCGGGUCUGAGAGGAUGAUCCGCCACACUGGAACUGAGACACGGUCCAGACUCCUACGGGAGGCAGCAGUGGGGAAUUUUGGACAAUGGGGGCAACCCUGAUCCAGCCAUGCCGCGUGAGUGAAGAAGGCCUUCGGGUUGUAAAGCUCUUUCGGCCGGGAAGAAAUCGCAUGGGCCAAUACCCUGUGUGGAUGACGGUACCGGAAUAAGAAGCACCGGCUAACUACGUGCCAGCAGCCGCGGUAAUACGUAGGGUGCGAGCGUUAAUCGGAAUUACUGGGCGUAAAGCGUGCGCAGGCGGUUUUGUAAGACAGGCGUGAAAUCCCCGGGCUUAACCUGGGAACUGCGUUUGUGACUGCAAGGCUAGAGUACGGCAGAGGGGGGUGGAAUUCCACGUGUAGCAGUGAAAUGCGUAGAGAUGUGGAGGAACACCAAUGGCGAAGGCAGCCCCCUGGGUCGAUACUGACGCUCAUGCACGAAAGCGUGGGUAGCAAACAGGAUUAGAUACCCUGGUAGUCCACGCCCUAAACUAUGUCAACUAGGUGUUGGGUGGGUAAAACCAUUUAGUACCGUAGCUAACGCGUGAAGUUGACCGCCUGGGGAGUACGGCCGCAAGGUUAAAACUCAAAGGAAUUGACGGGGACCCGCACAAGCGGUGGAUGAUGUGGAUUAAUUCGAUGCAACGCGAAAAACCUUACCUACCCUUGACAUGCCAGGAACUUGCCAGAGAUGGCUUGGUGCCCGAAAGGGAGCCUGGACACAGGUGCUGCAUGGCUGUCGUCAGCUCGUGUCGUGAGAUGUUGGGUUAAGUCCCGCAGCGAGCGCAACCCUUGUCGUUAAUUGCCAUCAUUUAGUUGGGCACUUUAACGAGACUGCCGGUGACAAACCGGAGGAAGGUGGGGAUGACGUCAAGUCCUCAUGGCCCUUAUGGGUAGGGCUUCACACGUCAUACAAUGGUCGGUACAAAGGGUUGCCAAGCCGCGAGGCGGAGCCAAUCCCAGAAAGCCGAUCGUAGUCCGGAUUGCAGGCUGCAACUCGCCUGCAUGAAGUCGGAAUCGCUAGUAAUCGUGGAUCAGCAUGUCACGGUGAAUACGUUCCCGGGUCUUGUACACACCGCCCGUCACACCAUGGGAGCGGGUUCCGCCAGAAGUAGGUAGCCUAACCGCAAGGGGGGCGCUUACCACGGCGGGGUUCGUGACUGGGGUGAAGUCGUAACAAGGUAGCCGUAGGGGAACCUGCGGCUG
rnacentral:rRNA from 1 species